rnacentral:rRNA from 1 species
UGGGGAAUAUUGCACAAUGGGCGAAAGCCUGAUGCAGCAACGCCGCGUGAGUGAUGAAGGCCUUCGGGUUGUAAAGCUCUGUCUUUUGGGACGAUAAUGACGGUACCAAAGGAGGAAGCCACGGCUAACUACGUGCCAGCAGCCGCGGUAAUACGUAGGUGGCAAGCGUUGUCCGGAUUUACUGGGCGUAAAGGAUGCGUAGGCGGAUUUUUAAGUCAGAUGUGAAAUACCCGAGCUUAACUUGGGUGCUGCAUUUGAAACUGGAAGUCUAGAGUGCGGGAGAGGAGAGUGGAAUUCCUAGUGUAGCGGUGAAAUGCGUAGAUAUUAGGAGGAACACCAGUGGCGAAGGCGACUUUCUGGACUGUAACUGACGCUGAGGCACGAAAGCGUGGAGAGCAAACA